rnacentral:rRNA from 1 species
UACGGAGGGUGCAAGCGUUAUCCGGAUUUACUGGGUUUAAAGGGUGUGUAGGCGGAUCUUUAAGUCAGUGGUGAAAUCUCUCGGCUCAACCGAGAAACUGCCAUUGAUACUAUUGAUCUUGAAUACAGUUGAGGUGGGCGGAAUGUGUCGUGUAGCGGUGAAAUGCUUAGAUAUGACACAGAACACCGAUUGCGAAGGCAGCUCGCUAAACUGUGAUUGACGCUGAGGCACGAAAGCGUGGGGAUCAAACAGG